GACGUAGGGCGCGAGCGUUGUCCGGAUUUAUUGGGCGUAAAGGGCUCGUAGGCGGCCAACUAAGUCAGACGUGAAAUCCCCAGGCUUAACCUGGGAACUGCGUCUGAUACUGGAUGGCUUGAAUUCGGGAGAGGGAUGCAGAAUUCCAGGUGUAGCGGUGAAAUGCGUAGAUAUCUGGAGGAAUACCGGUGGCGAAGGCGGCAUCCUGGACCGAGAUUGACGCUGAUGAGCGAAAGCUAGGGGAGCAAACGGG
rnacentral:rRNA from 1 species